rnacentral:rRNA from 1 species
UACAGAGGUCUCAAGCGUUGUUCGGAUUCAUUGGGCGUAAAGGGCGCGUAGGCGGUCAGCACAAGUCAGUUGUGAAAUCUCCGAGCUUAACUCGGAAAGGUCAACUGAUACUGUGCGACUAGAGUGCAGAAGGGGCAACUGGAAUUCUUGGUGUAGCGGUGAAAUGCGUAGAUAUCAAGAGGAACACCUGCGGCGAAGGCGGGUUGCUGGGCUGACACUGACGCUGAAGCGCGAAAGCCAGGGGAGCGAACGGG